GGCGGAGAUGGAGAAAGAGAGGCUCGGCAGUCUCAUAAGCUGCACAUCUGUGAGUGCAACUCUCACCUCCGCUACCA
rnacentral:tRNA from 1 species